CCAAAACAAACACGUAUACAAAAACACAGGGAUGUAACCCAAACAAAAGAGCAAGGUUAAACUUCUAAUAAAUACACGGGACUAGACCCGUAAAACAAUGUACGGGACGAGACCGUAAUAACAAUUGCACAAUACUACACAGGACGAGACCCGUAAUAGCAAGUACACAAUACACACAGCACGAAAGCCGAAACAACAAAGCACAGGUACUCACAAGACCAACGGACAUUGGAACAUUAACUGAACACACAAUGGCGAACAGAGGGCACAUAUAUACAAUUACUAAUCAGGGGGAAAUAGGAACCAGGUGUGCGUAAUUAGACAAGACAGUCCGGGUUUGGUGGUAAUGAACCAGUUCAGUGACACCUGGAAGCCGGUGACGUAGAACUCGGGAACUGGUGCACGGAAUGAGCAGCAGUACCGGAGGGAUCGGUGACAGUACCCCCCACCCCCUGACGCACUGCACUAGCAGCGGGACGACACUGGCCUGAGGGACAACCACAGGGAUGAGAUCAUGGAGACAGCAUCAAUCAGGAAGGGCUUUCAGUGUAGCCUUCCAUAUGUAGUUGGUGCUGACUCCCUAGAGUUUGAAGAGGAGAGAAAGGGAUUAAUGCAGAAGAGUGACUAAACCCCCAAAAGUGAAGUGAGAGGACUGAAGAGGAGGACAGAAAAGACGGUCUUCGAGUCAUUUUCUAACUGACCCACCCCACCACAGCGAGUCAGACCAGUAAAAUAUGCAUGCUUACAAAGCUAAUGGCAUAUCAGCAUAUAGAUGUAGCCUAUUUCAGGGAGAAGAGUUGUGGAGAACGUCAGUUUGGUGAUUUGUCUGUGAUCUGAUCACAGUAUAAACAGAUCAAUCCCUUGUCUCAUUGAUUGGACUCCAGAACCACAAUCAUUUUCAGACACAAUUCAUGUCCGUUCUCACUGGAUGAGAACCAAGGGUGGUCAGAUGUGUGUAUGAAUGUGGACAUCUCCUUCCGUUAAACUCCCCUGAACCUGGACAUCCGCCUCAUCCUUGUUCUUAAGGCCGGUGGCGGGUUGCUUCCGGCCUUAAACCAGCACCUAAGAUCUAUCCACCUGUUUGCCUAUCCACCAUAUGGAGUUUGGAUGGACAGCUACAUGACCAAAGGCAGUGGGAUGUCUCAGAAAAAUAACCCUUCCUGCACAUGUAGCAGUGGCUAAAAAUAACCCAGUGCCAGAUUGUCUCUCUAUCUCUUCCAUUUUGGUCGUGUGUACUGCAGACCCUUAAAGAUGCUCAAAUGACCGGAAGGAUUCUCUUGGACAACUCAGAGUUGCAAGACCCUUGGUUUCAGACUAGAC
rnacentral:lncRNA from 1 species